AGUUAGAAGCCUAAAUAUGGAUUUAUGAGCUGAACUAAAGUCACCCAAGAAGUCAAGAGGCAGUCAUAGUUGGUGGAGCAGCACGACUGCUAACAAGAGAUAGGAGGCCACAUCUGAAAGAAGUACCUCCUUCGUGUCACAGGCGUUACUGGGAACUGAAAAAAAAAUCACUAAGGUGGCUGAGGCUGGCCAGGCAACAGCUGCCCAGAGAUCAGCCACAAGGCGACGAGAGUCCCCGAAGUCCCUUCGGACCCUUCCAUGUGAGGGCUCUACUGCUUCCGGUCCGGUCCCAAGUUUAGUGUGCUGUUACAUCUCCUUGUUCGUAUCCCUGUCCUGGCCACCCAUCUCGAGAUUUAUACCUUCACCAGGAUAAUACCAUGGUUCCAUAAAAGGCGAUAUUUGUUUCUUUGUUUUGCCAUUGGCUGUCACUCACACUAUCUUACUCAUUCCUUACAUCAAUUG